UCGUCCCUACCCUUCAUUUUUCUCUAAGCCACUGAGCUCAGUCUUCAUCCUCCUCACUCCACUCCAGCACAAGCAAACACAGUGAACACCUCCAUUUUCACCCCCAAUCUCCAUCUUCUCCUCUGUUGGGCGAGAGAAGUUCAUUGUCGCUGCCCAGUCGCCGAUCAUCGCGCCGCUGCUCCGGUCGACUCUGGCCAUCUUCCGCCGAGCCGUCGCACCACCAGCUCAGCCUCGACCCCACGCAUGCGCAGCCACCGACGCCGUCUCCAACCGUGCACCGGUGAAGUAGAUCGACGUCACCACCCCCUUUCCACCAUCCGCCACCGUCGUCGGUCAAAUCCAGCCACUCCGGUGAGCCCCGCUUCAAUCCAUUGCGUAUACACCACCCUGGGGACCUCCGCUCGUUAUUUCACCACUUGGUUCUUGCAUGCAUGCCGUGAAUCGCCCCGAUGCCGUGCGGCCGCGGCCCCGCCGAAGCCAUUCGUCGUCACCGGACUUCUUCGCCGCCUCCCCGCCUUGUAUAACCCCUUGGUGAGCUCCACACCUCCCUAUGGCCUUCCCGUGCCUCGUCCAGUCCAGAUCGAGCUCGAAAUGUGACAUGCAUCGCCGGCCAAAAUCUCGCCGCCGCUCGUCACCGGCGCUAGCGCUACACAGGUCGUCGUCGUCAUCAUCAUGACCACCAUCGAGACUGCAUCGUCGCCCUCUUCAUUUAUCCUUUUGGGCCCGACUCCAUCCGAGCUUCGGUUCGCCACUGGCGAGAUCUCGAGCCGGCCAUGGCUGCCUCUGCGUGAGCUCCAGCCAGGAACCUCGUCCGUCAAUUAGAUAAAAGCAAGGGUUCUUUCUGAAAAGAGCCCAUGACACUUAUCACCGUAGCGAGGACCUUCUUAUAAAUUUUAGAAUAGCCGAGGACUCUUAAUAAAGUGCACUUUCAGUGCCUGCUGAAUUGCCUGAAAAAUAUGUAACCUUUGAAAAUUCAUAACAUUUUCAUUUGAGCUCCAAAAACAGUGAACCAAAUUUCUGUAGAUUCAUAAAAAUAUGAUCUACAAAUUUGUAAAAUAAAAAG
rnacentral:lncRNA from 1 species